CAGCAGCCGCGGGAAAACGGAGGGGGCUAGCGUUGUUCGGAAUUACUGGGCGUAAAGCGCACGUAGGCGGCUUUGUAAGUCAGAGGUGAAAGCCCGGGGCUCAACCCCGGAACUGCCUUUGAAACUAGGUGACUAGAAUCUUGGAGAGGUCAGUGGAAUUCCGAGUGUAGAGGUGAAAUUCGUAGAUAUUCGGAAGAACACCAGUGGCGAAGGCGACUGACUGGACAAGUAUUGACGCUGAGGUGCGAAAGCGUGGGGAGCAAACAGGAUUAGAGACCCCGGUAGUCCCUGUCUCUUAUAC
rnacentral:rRNA from 1 species